GACGGAGGGUGCAAGCGUUGUUCGGAAUUACUGGGCGUAAAGGGCGCGUAGGCGGUCUGUUAAGUUCGGUGUGAAAGCCCUCGCUUACCCGGGGGAACUGCGCCGGAAACCGACAGACUCGAGUACCGGAGAGGAGGGUGGAAUUCCUGGUGUAGCGGUGAAAUGCGUAGAUAUCAGGAGGAACACCGGUGGCGAAGGCGGCCCUCUGGACGGAUACUGACGCUGAGGCGCGAAAAGCCGUGGGGGAUCAAACAGG
rnacentral:rRNA from 1 species